GUGGAAAAUGCAUAGAAGCUUGUAGAUUUCCACAAGGAAGAGAAGAAAAGUCAUGCCAACAUAACAUGUGAGACGCCGCGUCCGUCCCUCCCACCUCUAUAUAAACUCAUCGGCGAAAGAGCAGUUCCCAUCCCAUCCAGCUUCAGCCAGCAGCAAGUCCAAUACACACACCCACACAAACUAGCUAGCAGGUUGUGACUGAUCACCGUGGUCGACGAGACGACGAUGGCCGCACGCCCGAUGCUGGUGGUGGCGCUGCUGUGCGCGGCGGCGGCGGCGGCCACGGCGCAGCAGGCGACCAACGUGCGGGCGACGUACCACUACUACCGGCCGGCGCAGAACAACUGGGACCUGGGCGCGCCCGCGGUGAGCGCCUACUGCGCAACCUGGGACGCCAGCAAGCCGCUGUCGUGGCGGUCCAAGUACGGGUGGACGGCGUUCUGCGGCCCCGCCGGCGCCCACGGGCAGGCGUCCUGCGGCAAGUGCCUCCAGGUGACCAACCCGGCGACGGGGGCGCAGAUCACGGCGAGGAUCGUGGACCAGUGCGCCAACGGCGGGCUGGACCUGGACUGGGACACCGUCUUCACCAAGAUCGACACCAACGGGAUCGGGUACCAGCAGGGCCACCUCAACGUCAACUACCAGUUCGUCGACUGCCGCGACUAGAUUACGUUCUCCGUCGAUCGAUCAAAGGGCUAGCUAGCUAUGAUAAGAAUAAAAGGCUAGCUAAAAGUAAGUUGAGACUGAUCCAUGCUGUUAAAUAAAAGCUAGCACGUGAUGCUGCAUUGUAUACGUGUUACGUGUAUACAGUACGUACAUGGAACGAAAUAAAGUGGAACAGACCAAACGGGUUAUCUAUUCAUGUAUGGAUUGUAUUGUACUACUACCAGUUUACUGAAGCUUCUCCAACAGCUCCCGUAAAUAACUCCUGGUAAAACCAUUUUUACGGGUUUCCGCAAAAUUUAGUGGAAGUUGACGGUUGAGGUAUUUUCUCGGUUCCUGUAAAACUUUCCCUAAAAAUGGUUUUGGCAGUGGCGCGAUGGCGAUGGCAUACUCCGGCGGCGGUGGCUGAUGGCGGACAGCAGAGGUCGAUGGUGGUGGGUUGGUGGGCGGCAGCGCGGCGGCCUCCGGUGGUGGUUAGCUAGCUGACGUGUAACUUUUAUGAGACACCUCGUCUUCCUAUUGAUGGAGGGAAACUUUGAGAGAAAUUAUGAAACCUCGUAAAAAUGUGCACGUUUACGGGAAAUUUUUU
rnacentral:rRNA from 1 species